ACCUUGAAAUCUAAAAUGGCCUCUGCUUGCGAGCUAUCGCUGGAAGAGGAGCCCACGUCCGAUCACGCUUGUUGGUGAGGUAACGGCUCACCAAGGCGACAACGGGUAGCCGGCCUGAAAGGGUGUCCGGCCACACUGGAACUGAAACACGGUCCAGACUCCUACGGGAGGCAGCAGUGGGGAAUAUUUCGCAAUGGGCGCAAGCCUGACGAAGCAACGCCGUGUGGAGGAUGAAGGCCCUACCGGUCGUAAACUCCUGUCUAGCGGGACGAAGCUCAUCAGAGUGAAUAAUUCUGGUGAUUGACUGUACCGCUGGA
rnacentral:rRNA from 1 species